rnacentral:lncRNA from 1 species
CUUUAGGAAUAAAGCGAUUUUGAGUUAAGAUUGUAAAAGCCGGAAAACCGGACUGACAUAAACGAUAAAAUAAGAAACGAUGUUAAGGAAAUAUACGAAUGUAAAGACGAAUACAAGAACGAUAAGAAAUCGUAUUCGCAAAGAGACAUGGGGUCGAGAUAUGAUCUCUUUCCUUAACUCAAAAUAUUCGCUCCGUUAGUGAGACGGAACUGUACGAAUAAAGAGUCCCAGGAUAAAACC